AUGGACACGUCUUUUGAAAGCUGCAAGCUGCGGGAUGAGCAACACUACAAGAAUUUGGAUGAUGAAAAUCAGUAUUUCUUGGUGCUUAUAUUGGGCGAUUUCCAAGAUGCGACGAUAAUCCCAAAAGAUGUUGUGCCGCAUUUCAAAGGAGAGAUCCCAGGAGAGAUCAAGCUAGAAACUCGAAAUGGUUACACUCACACUAUUGUGGUUGCCAAGAACCAAGAAAAGCAUGUCCUUACAGUGGGUUGGCGGCAAUUUGUUGAAAGUUAUGAUCUACAGGAGGAUGAUUCCUUAAUAUUCAGAUACAAAGGGAACUCUCAGUUUAGUGUAAUGAUCUUUGAUAAGCUUGGUCCUGAAAAAGCAUUUUCAGUUGUUCUGGAUCCUUUUUUGCCUCAGGUCCAAGACAGGUGUAACGAGGCACAUGAAAUCGGGCAUUCUCAAAAGAUGGAAGUGCCUCCGAAAAGAAGAAAAAGCCGGAUUGAAUAUCACUACGCAAACUUGGAUGAUGAGAAGAAAUUUUUCUUGGUGCUUAUGAUGGACAAUUUUCAACAUGAGAUGAUCAUCCCAGAAGGAUUUGUUCAGUGUUUCAAGGGCGAAUUCCCAAGAGAGAUGAUACUUGAAACACAAAAUCGUUGCAUUUAUGAAAUUGGAGUUGCCAAGAACAAUGAAAAGCUUGUCCUUACAGUGGGAUGGGGGAAAUUCGUCGACACCUUUGGUCUAGAGAUGGGUGACGCCAUAGUAUUCAGAUACAAUGGGAACUCUCAGUUUAAUGUCAUAAUGUUUGACGAACUUGGUUGUGAGAAGGCAUCAUCAGUUUUUCUGGAUCCUUUUCCGCCUCCUGUGCAAAAAAGGUGCACAAGUGCUACUGAUACUGUGAAAAGUUAUAAUUUUCAUCCUCAGCCCAUACAAAUGGUACUGCCAGAGUCACCACCAACGAAAAGGGGUGCCAUACAAACGCAGUCAUUUAGCACAAUGAAAGGCAUGCCAAUGGAGUCACCACGCCUCCAAAUGGAAAGGGACAAGUCAUGUCAAGACAACGACACUGUGAUAAAAGAUGAUGUCCCCUCUGAAGAAGUACGUGAAGUGACUGGUUCCGAUUGCAUCGUCUGGAAGAAGGUACGAUCUUCAUUUCAGAAGGAGCAGUUGAAGGGUCGUUAUAUUACCACCCACAAGAGUAGGCUAACUUCACCUCAGAAGGAAGUGGUGAAGCAGAAGGUCCAAUCCAUACAACCAGAGAUCCCAUUCUUUGUUGCCGUGAUGCGCAAGUGCAACGUUGUUUUAGGAUUCUUUCUGGUUUUCCCAAAACGCUAUGCUAAGGCAUAUCUUAAAGAGAAGCGACACUUGUCUCUUCAGGUGAUGGGCAAGGAGUGGCCGGUGUGGUUUCGUGAAAACAGUUGCGAUAAAAGGCUCGGAAAUGGGUGGAAACGGUUUGUAGAAGACAACAAGCUGAAGAUGGGUGAUAUGUGCCUCUUUCAACUGUUGAGAGAUGAGAGAACCAUGGAGGUACAUAUCAUCCCCGCCGCAAACGAUGCCACUUACCGGGCAGGUCUCCAAAAUGGUGCUGACCGGGAAGCGGCGUUCCGGGGAGGGGCUCCUACUCAUCAUACGGAUGGAGCGCGUGAUCCUGACACAAGGUUGCUUCGCAUCACUAAAACUGAAGCUGUGGAAGAUGAUGUUUGUUGCCCUUGA
rnacentral:rRNA from 1 species